ensembl:lncRNA
GACAAAUCUGGGAGCAGACAUGCUAUCUCGGAGCAAUGUCCCCUCGGACGAGUGGAUGCUCCAUCCCCAGACAGUUCUCAAAAUCUGGGAGAUUUUUGGGAAGGCAGAGGUCGACCUCUUCGCCCUUAGAAAGCAACUCUCAUUGCCCAACCUAUUUUUCGAAGGACACAGAUGCGCUGGCCCACAACUGGCCCAGCUCCUCCUUUACGAUUUUCCCCCAAUCGCUCUGAUCCCUCAGGUCAUCAGACGAGUCAAGGAAGACAAGCACAGAGUCCUCCUGGUGGUCCUCGGAGCUAUUCAGGCUUUCCACAAAAGCCCCAUGGCCGAUCCCCCUGAGGCGGGACCUCCUCUCUCAGGCGAACAGGACAAUCUGGCAUCCACAGCCAGAAUUCUGCACCUAUGGUCCCUCGAUGGGAGCCUUUAAGCCUCCCCAGGGACGUGCUACACACCAUUGCUCAGGCGAGAGCCCCGUGUACAAGACGACUCUACGCCCAGAAAUAGUCAGUCUUCAUUGACUGGUGCUCAGCACGAAACGAAGACCCUGUUGAGUGUGACGUAUCUCCGAUACUGUCAUUUAUCCAGGAGCGUCUAGACAAGGGUCUCACCCCUUCCACGCUCAAGGUGUACAUAGCAGCCAUCGCAGCAUUUCAUGCUCCUAUCGCUGGCCAAUCAGUGGGUUGAAACAGCCUCAUUGUGCGUUUCCUGAGAGGUUCUAGGUGGUUGAACCCCCCGCGUCCUCUCACUGUUCCCACUUGGGACCUUCACAUGGUCCUCGGAGCACUCAAAGGACCUCCCUUUGAGCCGCUGCAGUCAGCUGACCUUCGGCCCUUAAUGCUCAAAACCGCUCUGCUACUUGCUCUAGCAUCGGUCAAGCGUGUUGGCGAUCUGCAGGCCCUCUCGGUGAGCCCUGCAUGCCUUGAGUUUGGGCCCAAUGACUCGAAGGUCAUUUUAAAACCCAGGCAUGGCUACAUCCCUAAAGUGCUCUCGACCCCGUUCAGAGCACAGGUCAUUUCCCUCUCGGCACUGCCCCCUUUGUCAGGCGAGCGAGAGCUGGAAUUACUCUGCCCAGUGAGGGCUUUGAGGAUAUACAUUGAGCGGUCACAGCCGUUCCGGCAAUCUGAGCAGCUUAUUGUCUGCUUUGGUGGCCACACUAAGGGGUCAUCUGUCUCAAAGCAGCGCCUUUCGCGUUGGAAAGUCGACGCUAUUGCUCUGUGUUACUCCUCUAUGGGCCUUGAGUACCCCAUAGGAGUAAGAGCCCACUCCACUAGAGGGAUGGCCUCUUCUUGGGCCUGGUCUAGUGGUGUCUCUAUCAAGCACAUCUGUGAGGCGGCCGGCUGGUCCUCGCCGUCCACUUUUGUCAGAUUCUAUAACGUGGACAUCCCGACCUUGCAUGCUCGGGUCCUUUCGGUAUGACAACGACGGCCUCUAUCAGACUCCGUCAUCAUGCCACCUCCAGGGAGCUAGCUCCCUCUUAGCAGCAUAGAGUAAAGGGUUCGACGGCUCUGGCCCUCUCACUUGUCCCCUGGACCCCAAGGUGCCCAAGAUAAGUCUUGUCGUUCCCUACCGUGGCACGGCACGGUUGAAUUCGUUCCCCAUACUCAGUAUGAGUGAAGUAUCGAAAGGGAACGUACUCGGUUACGUUCGUAACCGAGUACGUUUCCAUGUGUAUUUAGCUUUGAUUUGAAAGAAAACAGUGCAUCCUUGUGGCGCGGAUGACACAG